UACGGAGGGUGCGAGCGUUGUCCGGAAUUACUGGGCGUAAAGAGCUCGUAGGUGGUUUGCCGCGUUGUUCGUGAAAACUCACAGCUUAACUGUGGGCGUGCGGGCGAUACGGGCAGACUGGAGUACUGCAGGGGAGACUGGAAUUCCUGGUGUAGCGGUGGAAUGCGCAGAUAUCAGGAGGAACACCGGUGGCGAAGGCGGGUCUCUGGGCAGUAACUGACGCUGAGGAGCGAAAGCGUGGGGAGCGAACAGG
rnacentral:rRNA from 1 species